rnacentral:rRNA from 1 species
ACGAACGCUGGCGGCGUGCUUAACACAUGCAAGUCGAACGGAAAGGCCCUGCUUGCAGGGUACUCGAGUGGCGAACGGGUGAGUAACACGUGGGUGAUCUGCCCUGCACUUCGGGAUAAGCCUGGGAAACUGGGUCUAAUACCGGAUAGGAGCCAUUUUUAGUGUGAUGGUUGGAAAGUUUUUUCGGUGUAGGAUGAGCUCGCGGCCUAUCAGCUUGUUGGUGGGGUAAUGGCCUACCAAGGCGGCGACGGGUAGCCGGCCUGAGAGGGUGGACGGCCACAUUGGGACUGAGAUACGGCCCAGACUCCUACGGGAGGCCGCAGUGGGGAAUAUUGCACAAUGGGCGCAAGCCUGAUGCAGCGACGCCGCGUGGGGGAUGACGGCCUUCGGGUUGUAAACUCCUUUCGCUAGGGACGAAGCUUUUUGUGACGGUACCUAGAUAAGAAGCACCGGCUAACUACGUG